UCUGUAUAGCAUAUGGUCCUUACAUUUAGGAGAGUAGAGAGUAGAUAAAAGCUCACCUAGAGCUAUGACAUCAAAUGCUGAAGGCCGGCCAACAUUUCACAAGAACCAUCAUGCAAAAUACUGGAAAUAAAUGGUGUGUUCUGGAUUACCUGAUGUUUGCCAAACCCCAUUGGCACUUAGGUCUUCAGGCUUCUUUUUGGCUGGUGGGACUGUGUUUGGCUCAGAUUUUAACACAUCGUUCAUGUUAACUUUGCCAAUUUGAAGAUAUCAGGAUAGCUGUGCAAUUUUGCUCGCAUCUGUAAUGGGUCUUCCCUUACACAUGAACGUGCUACGUGGCAAAAAUCCUACUCAUGGGAGUUUGACCUGUGGAUAUGACUUUAUUUGGAGAUAUGGACUUUAUAGUUGAACUGAAAUUGGGAUGAGGUAAUGCUGAAUUAGAGUAAUCCUGGUUUGGCAUGACUCCUCCAGGGGAAGAGAAGCACAGAGAAAUAGGACACCAUGUGAAGAGAGAUGAAGAAAGGAUGCAUCUAGAAGCCAAGAAAGGCAGGAAGAAGGAGGAAGACACAUGGGUUAUGAAGCAUGACAGCUAACUCACAAACAUAAUCAAGCGGUGACUCCAGUUGCAGCUCUUAUGCCAGAUGUGUCUCUACUUGAACAGAUGCGCAUGUCUCCUGGCACAUGGUGCCCACAGCCUCAACCCUGAGGCCCCCGUGGCUGCAAUUCUAGUGACCACAGAGAGCCAUGAAAACCAAACCUUGGAGAGUGGCCACCAGUGAUAAAGAACAACUCCCGCUGGAGCAACGUCGUGGACUGUGCCAGCGGCCUAGAUAACAAUGAAAACCAGGCUAUAGAACACGUGCGUGAGUGUGUGUGUGAUAAAGCACAUGAAGUAAUGUGUGGAACAUCCUAACUGUAAUUGGCUGAAUUUAGCUUAAAAACUCUGGUUUGACACAGCAAAAUGGCUCAACUCCUGAGGGCCCAACAGAGACAACACUGUGCUGAGAAACAAUCCUUGUGGACCCCAUGCGGACCCCAUGCAGUCACCCAUGCAGACGGCAGCCUGCACCUCUACAGUUCAGCUCCACGGGAUCCAAAAGCAAGGAACAUCGAUGAGUUGCGUUUACCUGUGCACUGCCAGGAGCUAGGCCACGCUCGCCAGACUGGAAAGCUCAGUGAGGAGUGUGUGAAAGAAUGAGUGUGGACCUGUUUCACCAUUUAUUUGCUGUUUAUGAAUAAAUAAAAAGUGUUAGAACCCU
rnacentral:lncRNA from 1 species